GGUUAAGCGACUAAGCGUACACGGUGGAUGCCCUGGCAGUCAGAGGCGAUGAAGGACGUGCUAAUCUGCGAUAAGCGUCGGUAAGGUGAUAUGAACCGUUAUAACCGGCGAUUUCCGAAUGGGGAAACCCAGUGUGUUUCGACACACUAUCAUUAACUGAAUCCAUAGGUUAAUGAGGCGAACCGGGGGAACUGAAACAUCUAAGUACCCCGAGGAAAAGAAAUCAACCGAGAUUCCCCCAGUAGCGGCGAGCGAACGGGGAGCAGCCCAGAGCCUGAAUCAGUGUGUGUGUUAGUGGAAGCGUCUGGAAAGGCGCGCGAUACAGGGUGACAGCCCCGUACACAAAAAUGCACAUGCUGUGAGCUCGAUGAGUAGGGCGGGACACGUGGUAUCCUGUCUGAAUAUGGGGGGACCAUCCUCCAAGGCUAAAUACUCCUGACUGACCGAUAGUGAACCAGUACCGUGAGGGAAAGGCGAAAAGAACCCCGGCGAGGGGAGUGAAAAAGAACCUGAAACCGUGUACGUACAAGCAGUGGGAGCACGCUUAGGCGUGUGACUGCGUACCUUUUGUAUAAUGGGUCAGCGACUUAUAUUCUGUAGCAAGGUUAACCGAAUAGGGGAGCCGAAGGGAAACCGAGUCUUAACUGGGCGUUAAGUUGCAGGGUAUAGACCCGAAACCCGGUGAUCUAGCCAUGGGCAGGUUGAAGGUUGGGUAACACUAACUGGAGGACCGAACCGACUAAUGUUGAAAAAUUAGCGGAUGACUUGUGGCUGGGGGUGAAAGGCCAAUCAAACCGGGAGAUAGCUGGUUCUCCCCGAAAGCUAUUUAGGUAGCGCCUCGUGAAUUCAUCUCCGGGGGUAGAGCACUGUUUCGGCAAGGGGGUCAUCCCGACUUACCAACCCGAUGCAAACUGCGAAUACCGGAGAAUGUUAUCACGGGAGACACACGGCGGGUGCUAACGUCCGUCGUGAAGAGGGAAACAACCCAGACCGCCAGCUAAGGUCCCAAAGUCAUGGUUAAGUGGGAAACGAUGUGGGAAGGCCCAGACAGCCAGGAUGUUGGCUUAGAAGCAGCCAUCAUUUAAAGAAAGCGUAAUAGCUCACUGGUCGAGUCGGCCUGCGCGGAAGAUGUAACGGGGCUAAACCAUGCACCGAAGCUGCGGCAGCGACGCUUAUGCGUUGUUGGGUAGGGGAGCGUUCUGUAAGCCUGUGAAGGUGUGCUGUGAGGCAUGCUGGAGGUAUCAGAAGUGCGAAUGCUGACAUAAGUAACGAUAAAGCGGGUGAAAAGCCCGCUCGCCGGAAGACCAAGGGUUCCUGUCCAACGUUAAUCGGGGCAGGGUGAGUCGACCCCUAAGGCGAGGCCGAAAGGCGUAGUCGAUGGGAAACAGGUUAAUAUUCCUGUACUUGGUGUUACUGCGAAGGGGGGACGGAGAAGGCUAUGUUGGCCGGGCGACGGUUGUCCCGGUUUAAGCGUGUAGGCUGGUUUUCCAGGCAAAUCCGGAAAAUCAAGGCUGAGGCGUGAUGACGAGGCACUACGGUGCUGAAGCAACAAAUGCCCUGCUUCCAGGAAAAGCCUCUAAGCAUCAGGUAACAUCAAAUCGUACCCCAAACCGACACAGGUGGUCAGGUAGAGAAUACCAAGGCGCUUGAGAGAACUCGGGUGAAGGAACUAGGCAAAAUGGUGCCGUAACUUCGGGAGAAGGCACGCUGAUAUGUAGGUGAAGUCCCUCGCGGAUGGAGCUGAAAUCAGUCGAAGAUACCAGCUGGCUGCAACUGUUUAUUAAAAACACAGCACUGUGCAAACACGAAAGUGGACGUAUACGGUGUGACGCCUGCCCGGUGCCGGAAGGUUAAUUGAUGGGGUCAGCGCAAGCGAAGCUCUUGAUCGAAGCCCCGGUAAACGGCGGCCGUAACUAUAACGGUCCUAAGGUAGCGAAAUUCCUUGUCGGGUAAGUUCCGACCUGCACGAAUGGCGUAAUGAUGGCCAGGCUGUCUCCACCCGAGACUCAGUGAAAUUGAACUCGCUGUGAAGAUGCAGUGUACCCGCGGCAAGACGGAAAGACCCCGUGAACCUUUACUAUAGCUUGACACUGAACAUUGAGCCUUGAUGUGUAGGAUAGGUGGGAGGCUUGGAAGUGUGGACGCCAGUCUGCAUGGAGCCGACCUUGAAAUACCACCCUUUAAUGUUUGAUGUUCUAACGUUGACCCGUAAUCCGGGUUGCGGACAGUGUCUGGUGGGUAGUUUGACUGGGGCGGUCUCCUCCUAAAGAGUAACGGAGGAGCACGAAGGUUGGCUAAUCCUGGUCGGACAUCAGGAGGUUAGUGCAAUGGCAUAAGCCAGCUUGACUGCGAGCGUGACGGCGCGAGCAGGUGCGAAAGCAGGUCAUAGUGAUCCGGUGGUUCUGAAUGGAAGGGCCAUCGCUCAACGGAUAAAAGGUACUCCGGGGAUAACAGGCUGAUACCGCCCAAGAGUUCAUAUCGACGGCGGUGUUUGGCACCUCGAUGUCGGCUCAUCACAUCCUGGGGCUGAAGUAGGUCCCAAGGGUAUGGCUGUUCGCCAUUUAAAGUGGUACGCGAGCUGGGUUUAGAACGUCGUGAGACAGUUCGGUCCCUAUCUGCCGUGGGCGCUGGAGAACUGAGGGGGGCUGCUCCUAGUACGAGAGGACCGGAGUGGACGCAUCACUGGUGUUCGGGUUGUCAUGCCAAUGGCACUGCCCGGUAGCUAAAUGCGGAAGAGAUAAGUGCUGAAAGCAUCUAAGCACGAAACUUGCCCCGAGAUGAGUUCUCCCUGACUCCUUGAGAGUCCUGAAGGAACGUUGAAGACGACGACGUUGAUAGGCCGGGUGUGUAAGCGCAGCGAUGCGUUGAGCUAACCGGUACUAAUGAACCGUGAGGCUUAACCUU
rnacentral:rRNA from 1 species